rnacentral:lncRNA from 1 species
AGACAUGUAUAAUUAAUUCUUAAAUACUCUUGAUCAUAGUAUCAUCAUGAGGAUGAUGAUCGAUUUAGAUAGAUCAGUGUAUAGAUCACUUUCUUCGAGAUAGAUGAGUCUCUAAUCUACAGUAUAGGAUACUGAGCGAUGAGUGUGGGUAGUUGUUAGAGAACAACUAGUACUAAAUGUAAUCGUAUGAGAGAUCACUUGGAUUUUUAAUCAAUCAUCAGUGAUCGUCUCGAUGCUAUAGUUGUGUGGAUAGUUCUUUGACCUAUAAUGGUAUGACUACUCAC